UACUGCUAGGGGGGCCUAUGGCUGAGAGGAUUCGUUCCGACCCUUUGAACCUGAUUCGGUUAAGACCGGCGGAGGGAAGCAU
rnacentral:ncRNA from 1 species